UACGUAGGGUGCGAGCGUUGCCCGGAUUUAUUGGGCGUAAAGGGCGCGUAGGCGGCCACGCACGUCCGUUGUGAAAUCGCCCGGCUCAACUGGGCGGGGUCAGCGGAUGCGGUGUGGCUCGAGCAAGCUAGGGGGCAAUGGAAUUCCCGGUGUAGUGGUGGAAUGCGUAGAUAUCGGGAGGAACACCAGUGGCGAAGGCGGUUGCCUGGAGCUUUGCUGACGCUGAGGCGCGAAAGCGUGGGGAGCAAACAGG
rnacentral:rRNA from 1 species